rnacentral:rRNA from 1 species
UGGCUUUCGGGCCCGAGUUGUAAUUUGUAGAGGAUGAUUUUGGCGCGGUGCCUUCCGAGUUCCCUGGAACGGGACGCCUUAGAGGGUGAGAGCCCCGUACGGUUGGACACCAAGCCUCUGUAAAUCUCCUUCGACGAGUCGAGUAGUUUGGGAAUGCUGCUCUAAAUGGGAGGUAAAUUCCUUCUAAAGCUAAAUACCGGCCAGAGACCGAUAGCGCACAAGUAGAGUGAUCGAAAGAUGAAAAGCACUUUGAAAAGAGGGUUAAAUAGCACGUGAAAUUGUUGAAAGGGAAGCAUUUACUACCAGACCUUCUCCUGGCGGAUCAUGCGGUGUUCUCACCGCUGCACUUCGCCUGGUUUAGGCCAGCAUCGGUUUUCGUAGGGGGAUAAAAGCUUUAGGAACGUAGCUCCCUCGGGAGUGUUAUAGCCUUUUGCAUAAUACCCUUACGGGGACCGAGGACCGCGCUUUUGCAAGGAUGCUGGCAUAAUGGUAGUCAAUGACCCGUCUUGAAACACGGACCAAGGAGUCGAACAUUUGUGCGAGUGUUUGGGUGUUAAACCCUCACGCGUAAUGAAAGUGAACGUAGGUGAGAGCCCUUACGGGUGCAUCAUCGACCGAUCUUGAUGUCUUCGGAUGGAUUUGAGUAAGAGCAUAACUGUUCGGACCCGAAAGAUGGUGAACUAUGCGUGGAUAGGGUGAAGCCAGAGGAAACUCUGGUGGAGGCUCGCAGCGGUUCUGACGUGCAAAUCGAUCGUCAAAUCUGCGCAUGGGGGGCGAAAGACUUAUCGAACCAUUAAACCAGCGGUAAAUUUACUUACUAGGUGGUUAAGAGGC